rnacentral:lncRNA from 1 species
UGCAUUGCCAUAUUGAUAAUAAGUAAUGUCUAGAGUCCCAGAAUCUCAUGUUCUGUUUAUUGCAUUGUCUUGAGGAUUGUCAUAGCUUGAAUCAUCAUGAAUGUGUUGUAGAAGUGAGUAGAAUGUCUCUGCUGCUUGCAUCAUGAUUGAUAAGUUAUUUUGCAUACAUAAGCAUAUCUCAUACUGUCUAAGUUCAAUCCUAUUGUUAUCUGAUGCUAUUGUCUAUGUUUAAUCCAUCAAUGAAAGUCUUGCAUCAAUUAGAAAUUGUCUAAGUUGUUUGCAUCAUUGGUUUUGAUUGAAACUGUUGUGCAUAGCCUUAAUAUUGCUCAUGGAUUGAACCUGUUGCAUUCAUAUAGCUAAAGCUUUAAGAUUGUGCAUUCAUAUAGUAAUGCAUUUAAAAAUGAGCCUAAAUUGCAAAUGUACUGAUAGGCUUGCAUUGCAUUUAGAGAACUUAAAAAAAAAAAAAAAAAAAAAAAAAAAAAAAAAAAAAAACUUGCAUUGCCAUUAUUAGAGAUUGAAAUCUACUUGUCUUGACUCAGUCCAGUUCUGAUUGUUGCUAUGCCAUAGUUAAAUCCAUCAGUGAUGUCUUAUAAGCACUUAGAAGUAUGUCUGAGCUAUUUGAAUCAUUGGCUUUGAUAAAACUAGUGAGCAUAAGCAUGAAUUGUGUCACUCUUGUCGCCUUGAUUGCAUAAAAAAAAAAAAAAAAAAACAAAACUGAAUUGAUUGUCUUUGCUUGAUUGUCUUGAUUGUCUAGCUUGUUUCAAGUAUUAUAUAUUAUUGUGGCAUUGGUGAUCAAACAUGAUGGAUAAUCUUGGUUUGAUCCCAAUGGGAUGAUCUGAUCUUGCAUUGAGUUGUGGUGGUGUUAGGUGCACAAGGAAUGGGAUACAUGUAACUCGCCAACAACCAAGAAUGUAAAGACAAAGGUCUUGUGCCAUUGCAUAUCAUCACUAGGACAUGUUAGUCCAUAAUCUACAGGAAGUGUAGUGUGAUUGAGUAUGCAAUGAGAGAUAGCCAUUGCAUAAUACCAUUGGACAUAUCUAGUCCUUAGUCUACAGGAAGUGUAGCAUGGGUCAUUAUGCAAUGAGAGGUGUGUCUUGUGAGACUCUCUAUGGUGAUUCAAACACCCUAGUUCCUGGUUAAGGAAGAGAGUAAACUCACAAGAAGAAAGCUAUCAUGAAAGAUGAUAGUUAUUAGACCAUAGAGAUGCAUAGGAUCAUCACAAGCUUAGCUCCUUCUAGUCUCGGUUCUAAGCUUGAGGGGGAGUCUUAAUGCAUAUGAUCCAUGGCAAGAGGCUGUUCAGAGCAGCCUUGGCGAGUGAGGAGGAAGGCUCUCCAUCAAUGCGGCUUCAAUGAGAGGUGAUUGAGGAGAAGCUGAUCAAUCCAUUCUGCCUUUCCAAGAAGUUGAUGAUGCCAUCCAUGAAGAUGGUGCAUUGAGA